CUGCCAGCAGCCGCGGUAAUACGAAGGGGGCUAGCGUUGCUCGGAAUUACUGGGCGUAAAGCGCACGCAGGCGGUUUGUUAAGUCAGAUGUGAAAUCCCCGGGCUCAACCUGGGAACUGCAUCUGAUACUGGCAAGCUUGAGUCUCGUAGAGGGGGGUAGAAUUCCAGGUGUAGCGGUGAAAUGCGUAGAGAUCUGGAGGAAUACCGGUGGCGAAGGCGGCCCCCUGGACGAAGACUGACGCUCAGGUGCGAAAGCGUGGGGAGCAAACAGGAUUAGAAACCCGCGUAGUCC
rnacentral:rRNA from 1 species